AACCACCUGGAAUGUUCGAUAGGCUUUCUUUAAAUUCAACCGACACUAUUUUUACGGGAGCCAGAGUUCGCUAAGGUAUGUCAUGCCCUUUUUAUAGGGGAAGGCAGAAAAUGGCGGCACGGCACCCACCUGAGUUAUCUCGGGUGUGAAUUUAUUAAAGCCGCGGCAUUUCGGGUGAAGG
rfam:Peptoclostridium acidaminophilum DSM 3953 chromosome, complete genome.